AGGUCAAUUUGAAGAUUGACAUCUUCAUCAUAUUGAUCUUCUGGUCCAUGAAGACUGGCCUAUGUGUGACUUUGCCUACGGUUUCUUGACUCUGGCUGGCUGGCAUUUUAUACUCUCCAGUCUGUAGCUGCUGAAGUACCUGUAUUAAAUGUAAUCUUAGGUGUUGGCUUGAGACUACGUCCGUUCAGCCUUUAUUCCUGUUGAAUAGUUUGGUGCAUUGAUCCUAUCGGACGGCCAGUCCAUCUUUGGCUGCACAGGAGGGGAGAACAGAGUCCCAUACUGUGGUACAUUCCGCACUGCUGAGAUGCUCUGAUUAUUCCAUGCACAUUAUUGGACAUUUGAGUGACGUUGAGUCAUUUCAACCUAAUGAACUGAUUGGAAGCUGACUCGCCCCGAGACCUGCUCUCUUCCCAUGCGCCUGUUGGGUAACCACCAGAGAAGACUGCUCAGGCAUGAAUGGACACAAGAACCUGGAAGUCUCGGUACAUGCUGACUGGACCCUAGUGUUUGUCGUGUCAGUAAGACUUGAGGAAAACACUUUGAAGCUGUGUCAUUGAAAUGCACAUUGGCGAGAACAAGCGUCCUGCUGUUGGCAAGAGGAGAGAGCAGUCAACAGAACGCUGAAGAUUCCGAGGCUGGUUCCCAUGAUGCCAUCUGACCACUUGCACCCCAGUCCUCGCUAUCCCUCCAGGGCAUCUUAUCGCAGCCUUGAUGGAGUCUGCACCUUGGCUGCAAAGGGAACACAAACUUCCUCAAGCAACGCAGUGCUGCAGACACAAGAGCCGCUUUCGCUCCAGAUGGGAUCCAAGGCAACUGCUGUGUAGAAACUUCCCUUGGCUUCACUGGUCUUUUCUUUUCUUCUUAUUUUUCCCCCUCCCUCUGUUUCUGCCAAGUUGUUGAUGUCCUGGCUGUCUGGAAAAGACUGCAUUUGAGCAACCAGAGACAACCAGCCUCUUAAGAACGACUACAGCAAGGAAUCUCGUUCUUAGAAAAUUAGUUUGUGCUGCUGUGUUGAUCCUACUGAAAGAAGGGGUGAGGGGAAGACCCUCAAGGCUAAUUUAUAUAAACACACAG
rnacentral:lncRNA from 1 species